rnacentral:rRNA from 1 species
AACGUACGCUGGCGGCACGCGUAACACAUGCAAGUCGAACGAAGUAGCAAUACUUAGUGGCGAACGGGUGAGUAUAAUGUGGGUAUCUGCCCUUUGGUUUGGAAUAACACGAGGAAACUUGUGCUAAUACCGGAUAAGCCUUCACAGGGAAAGCUUUAGCGCCAAAGGAUGAGCCUGCACUUGAUUAGCUAGUUGGUAAGGUAAUGGCUUACCAAGGCAACGAUCAAUAGCUGUUCUUAGAGGAAGACCAGCCACAUUGGGACUGAGACACGGCCCAAACUCCUACGGGAGGCAGCAGUGGGGAAUCUUGCACAAUGGGGGAAACCCUGAUGCAGCGAUGCCGCGUGAGUGAAGAAGGCCCUUGGGUUGUAAAGCUCUUUCGUCGGGGAAGAAAAUGACUGUACCCGAAUAAGAAGGUCCGGCUAACUUCGUGCCAGCAGCCGCGGUAAUACGAAGGGACCUAGCGUAGUUCGGAAUUACUGGGCUUAAAGAGCACGUAGGUGGUUAAGAAAGUUGGUGGUGAAAUCCCGAGGCUUAACCUUGGAACUGCCACCAAAACUUUUUAACUAGAGUAUGAUUGAGGUAAGCGGAAUUUCUAGUGUAGAGGUGAAAUUCGUAGAUAUUAGAAAGAACACCAAUUGCGAAGGCAGCUUUCUGGAUCAUUACUGACACUGAGGUGCGAAAGCAUGGGUAGCGAAGAGGAUUAGAUACCCUCGUAGUCCAUGCCGUAAACGAUGUGUGCNAGACGUUGGGAAUUUAUUUUUCAGUGUCGCAGCAAAAGCGUUAAGCACACCGCCUGGGGAGUACGACCGCAAGGUUAAAACUCAAAUGAAUUGA